rnacentral:rRNA from 1 species
UUGAACGCUGGCGGCAGGCCUAACACAUGCAAGUCGCGCGGAUGAAGGGAGCUUGCUCCUGGAUUCAGCGGCGGACGGGUGAGUAAUGCCUAGGAAUCUGCCUGGUAGUGGGGGAUAACGUCCGGAAACGGGCGCUAAUACCGCAUACGUCCUGAGGGAGAAAGUGGGGGAUCUUCGGACCUCACGCUAUCAGAUGAGCCUAGGUCGGUUUAGCUAGUUGGUGGGGUAAAGGCCUACCAAGGCGACGAUCCGUAACUGGUCUGAGAGGAUGAUCAGUCACACUGGAACUGAGACACGGUCCAGACUCCUACGGGAGGAAGCAGUGGGGAAUAUUGGACAAUGGGCGAAAGCCUGAUCCAGCCAUGCCGCGUGUGUGAAGAAGGUCUUCGGAUUGUAAAGCACUGUAAGUUGGGAGGAAGGGCAGUAAGUUAAUACCUUGCUGUUUUGACGUUACCAACAGAAUAAGCACCGGCUAACUUCGUG